rnacentral:rRNA from 1 species
UACGUAGGGUCCAAGCGUUAUCCGGAAUCACUGGGCGUAAAGCGUGCGUAGGUGGCGUGUUAAGUGUGAUGUUAAAUCGCGGGGCUCAACCCUGUCGGUGCAUCGCAUACUGGCAUGCUAGAGGGAAGCAGAGGCAAGUGGAAUUUGUAGUGUAGCAGUGAAAUGCGUAGAUAUUACAAGGAACACCAAUGGCGAAGGCGGCUGCCUGGGCCUGGCCUGACGCUGAGGCGCGAAAGCGUGGGGAGCGAUCCGG